GAUGAACGCUAGCGGCAGGCUUAAUACAUGCAAGUCGUGGGGCAGCGCGUUAUAGCAAUAUGAUGGCGGCGACCGGCAAACGGGUGCGUAACACGUACGCAACCUUCCUACAGGCGGGGAAUAGCCCCGAGAAAUUCGGAUUAAUACCCCAUAAGAUGUUGCAGUGGCAUCACUCUAUUAUUAAAGCUUCGGCACCUGAAGAUGGUCGUGCGGCUGAUUAGGUAGUUGGCGGGGUAACGGCCCACCAAGCCUUCGAUCAGUAGCUGAUGUGAGAGCAUGAUCAGCCACACGGGCACUGAGACACGGGCCCGACUCCUACGGGAGGCAGCAGUAAGGAAUAUUGGUCAAUGGACGAAAGUCUGAACCAGCCAUGCCGCGUGGAGGAUGAAGGUCCUCUGGAUUGUAAACUUCUUUUAUUUGGGACGAAAAAAGGGCAUUCUUGCUCACUUGACGGUACCAGAUGAAUAAGCACCGGCUAACUCCGUGCCAGCAGCCGCCGCAGUAA
rnacentral:rRNA from 1 species